GUUGUUGUGGAGAAAUCAAUUGUGUGGAACGGGUUGUUGUGGGGUUGAGACCUUAUCAGCUCUCCUUACUCUUUACCUUUUUCACGCAAUGCACUUUCUCUUUAACAAGUCAACAUCAAUUUCUUUUGUUGUAAAAGGGCCGGCGGAAGGUGGCUUUCUUUUCGGAGAAAGUGUUUAUAGCCGUUGGUCUCUACAAUCGGAGAGAUUGAGGUCUGCAGCGUAGAUCCUUCGGGGUUAGAUACGUUGGUGCUAAGUUAUAAUCCUAUAUAGACAACUUGUUGACUAUAUUCGAUCAUGUAGCUUACUCGCUGACGCUAUUUUACCUAC
rnacentral:rRNA from 1 species